rnacentral:rRNA from 1 species
CUCUACGACAAUGCCACCCUGAACAAGCCCACUCCCAUCUGAUCUUGGAAGCUAAGCAGGGUCGGGCCUGGUUAGUACUUGGAUGGGAGACCACGUAGGAAGACCAGGUGCUGUAGGCA